ensembl:lncRNA
CUCAAAUCUGAAGCAAGUUAAAAGCCAUAGGCUCAGAGUGGAAGUGGACAGUUUCUUCUUGUUUUUCUAAAAAAAAAAAAAAAAAAAAGUCCCAGGGGAUUUGGGUAAGCUGGCAUUUAGGAGUAUGGCUUGGAUAAAGAGAAAGGGUUUUGUCCAGUCUGGAUACUGUAACAUCUAGUCUCUUCUCUAUACCUCCCCCAACCAGGCAGUGACAACAGUAACAAGUUAUUUUUAUCUAUUGCAGUAGUGGCGCUUUAAGGGAAGAAAAUGAUUGUCAUAUUGUUGAAUCCAUACAGCAAAUAUGUGGAAGGGGGCGGGCUCCAGCGCAGCAGCACAAGCCCCACGGUGUGGAAUGGGCUAUAACGAGUAGUGAUGAGAGAUGUUUGGCAUGGCCAGAGCUGACAUCAGUCAUUCUAGCACAGAGCUAAUAUGCAGAUUCUGUCGGAGGAAGCCAAGGGAGGUUUCUCCGUCUGAAGAAUGAGGAAAUUCAACUAAGUGAUGUCUGAAGUCCCUGUUAGCUCCAGAAAUAACGGAUGUUGACUUGGAAGACUAGGUCCCUGGAGCACCCUUCCUCUGGUUUCCAGAGGGGGUUCCUGUAGAAACGAAGAGCAUGGCCACAACGAGGGACGCUGUAUCCUCGCUGCUGUCACUCUGGAAGGGGGUGCAUCCCUGGACUGCUGCAGGUCCAACAAGCAGUGGUCUUUUCCAAAGCUAUCAUUUAUCCAUCACUCUCUGGGCCUGGCAGUAGAAAUGGCAUCCUGCUCCACCCACUGCAUGGGCUCCUCAGCACCGUCUAUUGCUGUCUUUUACCCUGUCCCCACCAUUAAAAAUAGUCC